rnacentral:lncRNA from 1 species
AUCUUUAUAUUACUAUGAAGAAAGCAGAGGCUCAACAACAUGAAGUGGUUUUCCUAGGUCAUCCACUCAGGCCAAGGUCGGAGCCAAGAUUCAAAGUGAGGCCCAAUGCAAAAUCUAGCCUUUACUCUGCUACAUUUGUGGACACACAUGCAUAGAGUCAUUCAAACAUGUAAGUCUAAUAACUUUCUCAUUGCUUUCCAAAAAAGUUUUACAGUAUUUGUUCAACCUACUUCACAGGUAAGGGUGAAGAGCAGAAAGAAGAAUAUGGCACCAGGGAAUCUGAACUUUGAUCCUUAUAGAGGAAAUUGUGAGGGAGGAAGAGCACUGGGUUGGCCAGAAAAGGACUUUGGUGUAAAUCACAAAGAUGCUUUGGAGACUGUCUCCUCAUCUUUCCCAGGCUAUCAAGUCAAUAGUUCUACUUGACCACAAAAUUUUUCCUGAUUGUGGAACCACAGGUGAAUGUGAUCUCUCCUUUUUUUCAAAUUUUCCAAAAGCCUUUGUGUCUUUCUUUUGCCCUCAUUAUAUGCUAGUUUAAAUCACAUUCCUUUCUCUACAUGGCAAUCUGUUGGGUUUGAAGAUUGGCAUUUUUCAAUUUCAUAUUCAGAGAAUCUAGCAAACACAGUGCCUUACACUUAGUAGGCAUGUAAUAAAAUGUCUACUGGAUCUGGAAAGUGGUGAUAC